rnacentral:tRNA from 1 species
AAGUUCUGUGGUGUAUUGCACGUUGAAUUGCAAAUUCAAAGAAGCAGCUUCAAUCCUGCCGGGACU